GAACACUGGCUGGGAAACUGGGGGUAGAAGGUGGGGAGAUCACUACUUUUUAUCGUUCUGUUCAAUGAAACUGAAUGAAACAUCUGAAUGAAUGAAUAAUCUGUAAUUAGGGUUUUUAUGAUCUUCACUUCUUGAUUCUUAAACAUUAUUAAGUGAUGUUAGGGUGCUUCUGGGACAGAUUACUGUUGUGAUGAGAAGUUCCAGGGGCAGGGGCACCUGGGUUUGUCAUCUUUUAAAGGAAAGAGCACUGAAGAUUUCUGGCAGUCUUGCAGCAUUUCCAAAUAUACAAGUAGUGGAGAUAAGCAAUGUGUGCAUGUGCACAAACCUCUGUUAAUGUGGAGAUCCAGUCAACACCAGCACAUAUUGUGCUAAAUCCUAGCCAAUGCACUAACAUUCAUUGGAUUCCAAUCAAGGUUUGAGUUUGUUCAGCAGCAACCUUGUGGAACAGGGAGUAAGGCUUGCACAAUAAAAACCAUACAGAAAAUUGUAACUGAAACAAAUCACUUGGUUUACAAGUGUACAAGCUUAAUGGUAUUAUUAAAUGUUAAUAAAUGGAAUUAUGAAAGUCAAUAGAACUUACGUAGAAAAUAAAACAGAUUAUACUGAAUUUAUAGGAAAUAACCCAAGAUACGGUAGAAUAUUUCAAAACAAAGCAACUUAUAUAUGAUUGAAUUUAAAGCAACCUAAAGCAAUUAGAUAUUACAGUAUGUGCAUAUGUACUAAUAAAUAGCACCGACAAAGCAAACAGUCACAGUAAAUAAAAUAAUCUCCUAAUUCCCUCCAGACCAUCAAAUUAACAUACAAUUCUAGCCUUUCCCAUUAAUUCCAUUAUCUGUAUGGGCAGACCUUAGUUGUCAUAGACUAUGAAUUGCUAUAAUAUUUUCUGUGAGGGGGGAAAAGUGAGCAACUGGGCCCCCAAAGCAGGGCACUUUGGCACACUCCAGCAUUGGUUUUUCAAAACAUGUCAUGCUGUCACCUUUAUUCUGGAUUUAUUCCUGUUUUUCUGUUACUCUAAUCAUGAUGCCAAGAUCUUCAUUUGUCUUACCUCAAGCAACAGUGUACCGAUGUCCAAGCAGAGACACAGACAUGGCCUAAUGUCAUCCAUUUUGAUCCAUCAUGGCUGCUCUACUGUGUGCAUAUAAUAUCAUAAAUGGCUGGGUAUGGUGAAUUUGUAGGCCUGGCCUAGUAUAGCCCAACUUAACAACAACAGCCCAUCGGAUCUUCUAUCUUCCAUCAGCUCUCUGGCGAAGGACAUCUUGCCCAACAAGAUGCUUUCAGGCUUUAGUUUACAUCUCUUUGAAUCUGCCUGUGUCUCCAAAUUGCCCCUCUAGUUCCUUCACAGGUACGCAGACACCUCACAUCAGCUCCCUCUCCUUAGCUAGUGUAUGUGCGUCUCUGUCCAAGGUCUGAUAGAUUCCCCCAUGUGUGGCAGCAAAAUCAACAAAGCGUCUUGUGUCAAUAUUGAAAUGGCAGUUUCAAAAACCAGUAGGGGGACAUUUCAGCCUCCCAGAACACUCUGUAAAUGACCUUAAAGUUUCCAUACUUAUGGGGGGGGGCAGAGGAAAUGUAAAAGGAGACUGUAACACGAAACUGCUGAUUUACACUUCAUCAAAAGGCUUGGUGCUAUCAAGUUUGGACUGAAUUGGGGCAAAAUGAUUAAAAACAAAAUAAUCAUAGCACAUGUACUGAUUUGGUUACCAAAUCCAGGAUGUCUGGGUUACCAUCAACAACUGUUUUGUGGAUUGUGUUCAUUGGUUUGCUUUUUUGUUGUUGAAAGCUAUGGGAAUACGGGUGGCAGGAUUCUGUUUCUGUAGUUUUCUUGCCUAUGAUGACCUCGACGUGGUCCAGAAAUGAGAUUGGUACAGGCGGGGGAGUUGGUUCCACAUAAUGGAGUUCGCUUUGUUCCUGACCUGAGGGCAGAUGGGUAGGGAGCUGAGCUGGGAAUGGCUCAUCAUAAGACUGUCAUCAGUCUGUUAAAGUCAAUACCAAUUACAAGGCUAUUAAUUAAAAGAAGGAUGUGACUGCUGCAUAUAAUGAAUAUAACCCUUUAUUUUCCAUUUAGUCACACUGCACGUACCCGAACUUAACUGAGGUGGAUCUCAAAGCAUUGCCUGUUAAAUACCGGCUUUGAUGAAUUAGUGCCAAUGUUGUUAUAAAUUGCUACCCACAUGUUAUUCUCUUUAGAGCACAUGUUCAGGUCCAGUUAACAUAGACUAGUUAUUGUCUUUUAACCAUCCUGUUACUCUUAUGAAAAGACGCACUCUCCCCCCCACCCCUGACACACACGCUGCCACCUUUAGGUAAUGCUUAUGGAUAAAGUGGAAAUUAUGUGAGCAUCAAAGCAAGGUGUUUGUGGUAUUUCUGCACCAGUCACUGUGGGAAGUGCAAGCAUGUAUGGUAUAGAUAUUCCACCUGACAUUAAGUACUUUCCUUCCAAAAAUUCUAAACUAUAUUUUUAGUGGAGAUUGGUGAAUGCCUGCACUAUCUUCAGAUUGACCUAGAAAUGGGAAAGAAAGAAAAAGAUAAUGAAAAAUGGGGAAGAAAAGGGUUCCUUUCCAAAACUAAUCUGAGGGUCUUGGAAGACAAAUCACCCCUUUCUGCUAGGUCCUACCCUCGUAUGGGCAAACGGACGAUGUGGUGAGGAGGGAGGUUUUCUCAUUUCUCAGAUUCCAGUUCCAUGAGAUGCUGCAGGCAGCAAACCAGGUUGUAAAGAACAAUGGCCUUUGGGACUUGAGGGGUCUUUCUAAGGGCCUCUGCUUCCUUAAUUUAUGUGUGUAAUGACCCAAUUAUCUUGUUUUUAUGUUUUAUCUUGUUAACGUUAAGUAAAAAUUAUCUUUGCUUAUGGGUAAGUAAAGUAUAGGGAGGGUGCAUUUGGGGGCAAGAGAGUGAGCUGAUCGGGAUGGCAGGGUGGGAACCAAGCUAGGGAUCCUUCUCACAUCAAAUCCAAAGCAUUCAGGAUGAUUGCUUCCUUUGAGGCAGGCUUGUAAGGAGCUCUGAAGCUCCUUUUCAAACUCUGCUCUGGUGAACUUUGCCGACCUCACUAUUCCCCCCCCCCCCUUGCCUUGUUGCCAAUAAUAGAAUGCUAAAUAGCCAAUGAAAUUUGGCUGCGUGCUAAUGUCACAGAUGGUACUCAGUGUCACAGAAGGCACACAGAGUUGAUACAGAAUGAGGACAGUGAUGACGAGAUUUGUAAUAUUGGUGAUCCUAUCCCAUCAAGGAUCACGUAGUAAGCAUAAUGUUGUCACACCAUUAUGGGGCGGCUCAGAUUUGGUUAUGUACUGAUAUCACCGGUAGCAAUGAAAUGAAGUUUCCUGAAUAAGUGAACAUUUCUGUCCACUGCUGCAGCUAUGCCACAGUCCCACCACUACCCAAAAAAUCCCUAAAAGUCAGGUGCCUUUCAACGCUGAUGAAAAUGGUGAUGAAAUUUGACUGUCCUUUUUAACUUACCCUAUGCAUGACCAGUAUGCUGUAAUAGGUAUAAAUAUACUAUCUCUGGUACGAUUGGAAUAUUGUGGUAAGAGUACAGCACUAUACUUAAAAUAGUUGUCACUGGUGUGGUUUAAUUGCUUAUGCCAACACCUAUAAUAAAAGUAUCUGUAGUCUGUGGUAAUCUUACUGCUGCCUGUCUAGUGAAAUUGCAGAUUCUAUGCUUUGCUUUUCUGAAAGCAUGCUUAUGUAGCUGUAGUCAAAAGUAUUUCACAUGUAACAUCUGGGUUAUUGUGCACACUUGUGUGCUUACACUUGUAUGUGGAAUCAUUGUGGGAAAGUUUGGGAAUACUUGUGAAACCCUUAGUAAAUCUUCUUGCUUUGUUUUGAUUCCUGCAUUGCAAGGGGUUGGGUUGGUGAUCCUUGGGAUCUGUUCCAACUCCAGUUCUAUGAUUCUAUCUUGAAAGAGUUGCGUGGAUUUUUCUUUUUUAUCUCUGGAUUUCUGUACUGUUUCUAAUAGAGCAAACUCUUCUCUCUUUGCCUUCCUCUCUCCUCCUCCCUUUCCUGCAUGAACACAGCCUCUAUAGUAGGGAUUCAGGUGACCUUGAACUAUCACAUCAAUUUGGCAAAGGAAACAGUCAGUUUGCUGAGUUCUUUUUUUAUUUAAAACAAGCCGCUUGGGUAGCACUAGGGGCAUGAGUUCUUUUUAGAGAUACAUGUACACUUGGUUCCAUCACUGCUGGGCAGGACAGAUGUGGCUCAGUGUGCCCCAGUGAUGCAGGGAAUCUGUAUUUGGCCACAUUCUGGGUCUCUGAGCACCCAUUGAGAGGAAUGGAUUUCCUUAUAGCGUUAAGAGAAACCAUAGGUGGAGCAGAAUCAAGCACAGAAUAGUUCCACCCCCGGUAUAUUUUUGGCAGUAUGACAGGUUUUAUUUUUAAAUGUUAGCAACACAACAUAAGCACAUAGUGUAACAGCAUAGGAUUGAUGCAUUGAAGCCCUGAUGAAGAUGUUUGCCCUCUGCUGCAUCUGUUGUUUUGUGUGUAUGUUUUUUCCCCAUCCUAUUUUUUGGUUAUAAUCGCUUCCAAGGUUACAGUGAUAUCAUUUGUCAGACAAACCAACAUAGUUUUUUCAUACUAUAGGAUUACAUAACAGAACACGAGCUUUACUACCAUUUUAGGUUGUAUUAUGAUUGUGGCUUAUUUAUAUAGAGUCAGUGCUAGGGGAGAAGGGACUUCCCUCUAACUCACUUCACUGUUGUCAUUUUGAAAAACUGUAAUAAAAAAUACACAGACCUCACCUAUGGCUCACGACUCAUGUAAUCUGUGACAUGCACUGACCAUGAAAGACUGGAAAAUUUAAGAUAUACCUGGGGAUCUGCUGCCCCUGUGGAUCCUGCCACCUGAGACAGUCACUUCACCUUGCCUCAUGGGCAGGCUGGUCUUGGGAGUGGGGAUAGAGAAUGGCAAAUUGUGAAUAACAUCAUGACACUGGUUAAGUGAGCCUACACUUUAUGAAAGGGAUUACAUUUGCAGAAAGGGAUUACAUUUACAGGGAAAGCCCUGUGCUUCCUGUAAUAUGUUCACCUUAAGUGUCCUGAAUUGUUCACUAGCUCCUGGCAAAUAAAGAGGCCAAAAAGCAGUAGCCAGUACAAUCUAUACAUGAAUGGGGAUUAUUUUUUUAACUGCUAUUAGCAAUUACCUAUUCAAAGGGAAUACCCAUAGGCUAGAGAAGAGUUGUUCAGCAGGAGGCACAAGUCGAUAUGUAAUUGAACUAAGGAGAUCAAUAUGCAUUUCAAUAGCUUGUGCGGCUACUACCACCCACUCAUUACAAAGUGCUGCUCAUUUACCUUAGAAAGAUAAAAGGCUGAGUCAACUCCAUAGGGAAUGUAGACAGGUUAGAUCAUUGAAUCUAUGCUUCUGGCAAUAGGAACCCUUACACAUUGAUCUCAGAACUCUUUGCUAUUAAAGCAGUUAAAGGAAGUUUUUUUUAAAAAAACACUGUUGUUUUUUUGGUGUGAUAAAUUGUAUAUUGAAAUACAUGCUAGGAAAUUCCUGGUUGCAUUGCUCCACACGGAUGCAUCCUCUUUAAUUUCCAAGUCAGAUUUUGGCAAAUUUCAAACACUCUUAUCCAGAAGGGGGUGCAAUUAGUGUGCUGGUCUAAACCAAGCAUCAUAAUAAUCCCACUCUGGAAUCCAACAGCAAAGUUGGACCCAGGAGACCGUCAGUAUAUGGAAACAUCACAACUGCAAACAGCCAGCUUGUUGACAUCACAUGAUGCGGCUAUCUGUGGGAAGGAAUUUCCCCAGACGUUCACAGGCUGGAUAAGUCUUUGUGAAGAGUGUAAUUUGAAACCUUCCGACUGCGCAUGUUCAGGAAGUUUGUCAGACUUGCUAGAAGAACUGAACUGAAAGGACGUGUUUUUCUGUAGUGCUGUAAUGUCAGAAAUAAACAUCAUGUAAAUAGAUUUCUGACUUAUUUUCUUUCCCCUGCGGAAGCAGGAGGAGGGGUGUGUGUGUGCAUUUUACCCACUCUUGGGAAAAUGUCACCUAUCAAAAUCUCCCUGGUCUGUCUGGAUGUCAGCCAGAGGAGGUUACCGGUAUGCAAGCUCCGAGGACAGUGAGAGGGGCCAGCCUCUGUGGAGGGGGCUUGCAAACCGACAGAGACUACCAAACUGCAAACUAAAUCUUUGAGGAUAUGCGUGACCCUGUCUAGAACAGAUAAUUCACCAACUUUCUGACUUUUCUGACCAUUCACUAUUAGCAGCUCCAUGUAAUCUGGAUUGCAUUUCAGUUUGAUUACCUUCAUCAAGUCCUCUAUUGACCUCUGAAAGGUUUUUAGGAAUGUAACUGUUACACUGUGAUAUGAGAAGGACAAAUCGUGAGUUCCUUCUCAUCAGCAUGCAGAUGACAUUUCACACCAAAUAGCCUCUCCUAGCAGUUGGUUUAUGCUACUGAUGAAGAGCGGAGGACAAGUACAAGUAGAUUCAGAGCUGAUGAAGCGGCUGGGCCAAAGCCGAAAGGACGCUCAGUUGCGGAUAUGCCUGGAAGCGAAAGGAAAGUCCAAUGCUGUAAAGAAAAAUAUUGCAUAGGAACCUGGAAUGUAAGAACCAUGAACCUUGGUAAGUUGGAUGUGGUCAAAAAUGAGAUGGCAAGAAUAAAUAUUGACAUCCUGGGCAUCAGUGAACUAAAAUGGAUGGGAAUGGGCGAAUUCAGUUCGGAUGACCAUCAUAUCUACUACUGUGGGCAAGAAUCCCGUAAAAGAAAUGGAGUGGCCCUCAUAGUCAACAAAAGAGUGUCGAAAGCUGUACUGGGAUGCAAUCUCAAAAAUGAUAGAAUGAUCUCGAUACGAAUCCAAGGCAGACCUUUUAACAUCACAGUAAUCCAAGUUUAUGCACCAACCACUGGUGCUGAAGAAACUGAAAUUGACCAGUUCUAUGAAGACUUACAACACCUUAUAGAAACAACACCAAAGAAGGAUGUUCUCAUUAUAGGGGAUUGGAAUGCUAAAGUAGGGAGUCAAGAGAUAAAAGGAACAACUGGCAAGUUUGGCCUUGGAGUUCAAAACGAAGCAGGGCAAAGGUUAAUAGAGUUCUGCCAAGAGAACAAGCUGGUCAUCACAAACACUCUUUUCCAACAACACAAGAGACGACUCUACACAUGGACAUCACCAGAUGGGCAGCAUCGAAAUCAGAUUGAUUAUAUUCUCUGCAGCCAAAGAUGGAGAAGCUCUAUACAGUCAGCAAAAACAAGACCUGGAGCUGACUGUGGCUCAGAUCAUCAGCUUCUUAUAGCAAAAUUCAAGCUUAAACUGAAGAAAGUAGGAAAAACCACUGGGCCGGUAAGAUACAAUCUAAGUCAAAUCCCUUAUGAAUACACAGUGGAAGUGAGGAACAGGUUUAAGGAUUUAGAUUUGGUGGACAGAGUGCCUGAAGAACUAUGGAUGGAGGCUCGUAACAUUAUACAGGAGGCAGCAACUAAAACCAUCCCAAUGAAAAGGAAAUGCAAGAAAGCAAAGUGGCUGUCCAACGAGGCCUUACAAAUAGCGGGGAGAGAAGGCAAGCAAAAUGCGAGGGAGAUAGUGAAAGAUACAGGAAAUUGAAUGCAGAUUUCCAAAAAAUAGCAAGGAGAGACAAGAAGGCCUUCUUAAACGAGCAAUGCAAAGAAAUAGAGGAAAACAAUAGAAUGGGGAAAACCAGAGAUCUGUUCAAGAAAAUUGGAGAUAUGAAAGGAACAUUUCGUACAAAGAUUACC